GAAGUGUUCGGAUUGCGGCGACGUGGGCGGUUCGCUGCCCGCGACGUUGUGAGAAGUCCACUGAACCUUAUCAUUUAGAGGAAGGAGAAGUCGUAACAAGGUUUUCCGUAGGUGAACCUGCGGAAGGAUCAUU
rnacentral:rRNA from 1 species